rnacentral:rRNA from 1 species
AGCGGCAGACCUAACACAUGCAAGUCGAGCGGCAACGGAAAGAAGUCUACUUCUUUGCCGGCAAGCGGCGUACGGGUGAGUAAUAUCUGGGGAUCUGCCCAAUGGAGGGGGAUAACUACUGGAAACGGUAGCUAAUACCGCAUAAUGUCGUAAGACCAAAGUGAGGGACUCUUUGAGCCUCAUGCCAUUGGAUGAACUCAGAUGGGAUUAGCUAGUAGGUGAGGUAAAGGCUCACCUAGGCGACGAUCCCUAGCUGGUCUGAGAGGAUGACCAGCCACACUGGAACUGAGACACGGUCCAGACUCCUACGGGAGGCAGCAGUGGGGAAUAUUGCACAAUGGGGGAAACCCUGAUGCAGUCAUGCCGCGUGUGUGAAGAAGGCCUUCGGGUUGUAAAGCACUUUCAGUGGGGAAGAAGUUAAUAAUGUUAAUAACAUUAUUAAUUGACGUUACCCACAGUAAGAAGCACCGGCUAACUCCGUGCCAGCAGCCGCGGUAAUACGGAGGGUGCAAGCGUUAAUCGGAAUUACUGGGCGUAAAGAGUACGUAGGCGGUUUGUUAAGUCAGAUGUGAAAGCCCUGGGCUUAACCUAGGAAUGGUGUUUGAAACUGACAAACUAGAGUUUCGUAGAGGGAGGUAGAAUUCCAGGUGUAGCGGUGAAAUGCGUAGAGAUCUGGAGGAAUAUCAGUGGCGAAGGCGGCCUCCUGGACGGAAACUGACGCUCAGGUAUGAAAGCAUGGGGAGCAAACAGGAUUAGAUACCCUGGUAGUCCAUGCCGUAAACGAUGUCGAUUUGAAGGUUGUAGCCUUUGAGCUGUGGCUUUCGAAGCUAACGCAUUAAAUCGACCGCCUGGGGAGUACGACCGCAAGGUUAAAACUCAAAUGAAUUGACGGGGGCCCGCACAAGCGGUGGAGCAUGUGGUUUAAUUCGAUGCAACGCGAAGAACCUUACCUACUCUUGACAUCCAGAGAAUUUGGCAGAGAUGCCUUAGUGCCUUCGGGAACUUUGAGACAGGUGCUGCAUGGCUGUCGUCAGCUCGUGUUGUGAAAUGUUGGGUUAAGUCCCGCAACGAGCGCAACCCUUGCCCUUUGUUGCCAGCGAUACGGUCGGGAACUCAAAGGAGACUGCCGGUGAUAAACCGGAGGAAGGUGGGGACGACGUCAAGUCAUCAUGGCCCUUACGAGUAGGGCUACACACGUGCUACAAUGGUGCAUACAAAGAGAAGCAAUCUCGCGAGAGUUAGCCAAUCUCACCAAAGUGUAUCGUAGUUCGGAUUGGAGUCUGCAACUCGACUCCAUGAAGUCGGAAUCGCUAGUAAUCGUGUAUCAGAAUGUCACGGUGAAUACGUUCCCGGGCCUUGUACACACCGCCCGUCACACCAUGGGAGUGGAUUGCAAAAGAAGUAAGUAGCUUAACCUUUUUUGGAGGGCGCUUACCACUUUGUGAUUCAUGACUGGGGUG